GAUUUCAGCUACCCAGUUGCGAACACGCUCGUCUUGAUCUUGCUGAUGGUCUGCAUCUUUCAAAAGGCAUUGCAUCCGCUUUAGUUCAGCUUGCAAUCGCUCGACUUGGUGUCGCACACCGUGGACAGAAACUGCUUCUUGAAUGAGCAAGUAAGCAAUUCUUUGAACGGCCGAAGAAACAACAGCCUCAGCCAUUCUUCUUCUUCUUAGAUCAAGAAGGAAAAAUUAGAAGUUUGGAUUUGUUUUAUCUUGGAUAAGUUUGUGAAGACGGCAGGAUGUUGUGGAUUCUUGAAUAGCAAAGGGAAAAAGACAAGAAAUUUCUUCCAAUUUUCCUUUGCUUUAAUUCUG
rnacentral:misc_RNA from 1 species